AAAACGCGCCAUACGCAAGGUCGCUCAGUCGGCCUCUGUCAAACAACGGAUAAAUGAUAAGCAAGAUUGACGAUAGAUAACUCGCAAAGAAUAUCAACAUGUCGUAUCAAGCGCACAAGGAACACAAAUUGCAAAGUUUAGACGUUUUCAGGAGCAGCCGUUUUGAUCGAGACGCGACAUAAAGCGACGGUGCAGAUGUCAAACUUACGGAGACCGCAAAAUGGAGAAAACGCUGGUGGUACGUUCAUUCGUUUUGUGGUGCAACCCUAGCUUCUCUACCACAAGUAAACGAACACGCCGUGAAACAAAACAUGUUCCUUAGUGCCGCGUAGAAUCUUGAACUAGAUACAAAUAAUAUGACAGGAUUAACGGCAGUGCUAAUAGAAGGGAAAAUGUAGAAAAACAGAGCUAAAGAUAGUAAACACGAAUCUUUGCUAUACAAUGAGGGUAAAACGAUUUUAAGAAUUAAAUAAACACACAAUGGGGUCCAACACAGUAAAAAUGCUGCGACGAUAGAAAUAAAGACCUUCAUGAUAA